rnacentral:rRNA from 1 species
UACGAAGGGGGCUAGCGUUGUUCGGAAUUACUGGGCGUAAAGCGCGCGCAGGCGGUCUUCCAAGUCAGUGGUGAAAGCCCGGAGCUCAACUCCGGAACUGCCAUUGAAACUGUUAGACUUGAGGAUGAGAGAGGUGAGUGGAAUUCCCAGUGUAGAGGUGAAAUUCGUAGAUAUUGGGAAGAACACCGGUGGCGAAGGCGGCUCGCUGGCUCAUUUCUGACGCUCAGGCGCGGACAGCGUGGGGAUCAAACAAGG